rnacentral:lncRNA from 1 species
ACGGUCGGUGUUCAACUACUUACGACCUGCAAAUCCCCGUCUUGAAUUAGUUUCCUGAUUAUUCUGCCUAGAAUUAUUCUAAAUUCUCUCCGUUCUGCGGAUGGUCAGUACGAAUGAAUCAGCUUGAUGAAGCUAGCAGAACAAGUUUAUGAUGAUUGCUUCAUGUGAUCUUUGUUUUCCAGGGAUGGAGCGGCAUGUGCUGAGCUUUGAGGCAGGGGCAGUGCUGCCGGACUCCGGCAAGUGGCAGGCGCCGGCUUACUGCUUCAAUGGCAGCAACGCCGACGCCCCUGCUCCUUCUCCGGUUGAUCAGCUGAUUCGCCGGGGCUCCAGCUGCAGCUAAAGGUCCUCCACAGUGUGUUGCCAGAGUGAUGCCCAAAGAGAAGAGAAAAGAUUUGGGCAUCACUCCUACCACUGCAGGAGGUGAUGCUAAUUUUCAGUGAUGCUGAGAAAAUUGAGAGCGAGACAUCUAAGUAUAUACAAAAGGACUUAUUUGUCAAAAUAUGAAAGAACCAACCUUUUAAGUAUUAUUUUGGUGAAGCCAAUGUUUCGAUCGAGUGGCAAAUUGUCGAAACUACAUGUAUGGUAAAUAUGUGAUGGCAAUUUAAAUAGCAAACCAUUAGUCUUGAAUCAACCCUUUUGAGAAACCUUUUCAUUCUUAUCUACAAAUAUAUAGCACAUCAAGCUUCUAUUUUAUAAACAACAUGCUAUAAAGCAAAAUAAUUUCUUGUUAGAAUUCAUUUUUUAAAUUACUGAUAUAGAUAUUUAUCAAUGUGAUGAAAAGAACAAAUUUCUUGAAUCAUUAUCAUAUUAACACAUAGUUUAAUUUUGAUCACAUUCUAAAAUAAUAAUAGAGUGAAUAAUUAGAAGAGUACUCUGAGGCUAUGCUUGGAAGAUGGUGGACCUUGCACUUGAGAAAUUUGCUCUAUUGACAUCCCUAACAUGUGGUUUCGCACAUUUGACACCUAAAACAUAAGGUUGCUUGAUUUGCUGACAUUUCCACCUUUUUAUAUCGGUUCCCUUUUCUUUUUGCCGUGUUGGGCAUCUGAAAUGACCAUCUUAGCCCCUGAACGAUGCACCGCCUUCCUUUUGCUCCAGUUGAACAGUAUUUCAUAACAUGUUUUCACAUGAACUUUGCAGCCACACCAAGUGACAUGCCACAAUAUAUUUUUGCACAAAUAUUACUAUGUUAGAGCAACACAAAAUGGCACCGGUUCAUAGCCAUAUACAUCCAGUUACGGUUCACGCAAUAAGUUUAUAUAUAUAUAGUUCAUGUUCACGUAUCUCAACCAAAUAGGUUGAAUAGUUCACACAUGUAGUUCAUAAAUAAAUCUUAGCAGUAACUGCACCUGAGCCAAAAUAAGUUCAGUCAGUAUACAUGCGUCAUAUGUCAUUUGAUAGGCUAAGGAGAUAAACACAGGCAAGGGCACAUAUGUCAUUUGAUAGGUCAAAAUGUAAAAAAAAAAGAAAAUAGAUUAAAAAGAGAAGAAUGUCACAAAAUCAAGUGGAAUAUGCGAAGCCUCGUUAUUUAGAGUCUCAAUGCAGCUAAUUUCUCCUUACUUAUUCCCUAGGGGGCUGUUUGGAUACGAGAUGCUAAAACUUUAGGAGGGUUACAUCGAAUGUUCGGACGUUAAUUAGGAGGACUAAACAUGAGCUAAUUAUAAAACUAACUGCAGAACCCCUAUGCUAAUUCGCGAGACGAAUCUAUUAAGCCUAAUUAAUCCAUCAUUAGCAAAUGGGUUACUGUAGCACCACAUUGUCAAAUCAUGAACUAAUUAGGCUUAAUAGAUUCGUCUCGCAAAUUAGACUCCAUCUGUACAAUUAGUUUUUUUUAUAAUUAAACUAUAUUUAAUACUCCUAUUCAAACAUCUGAUGUGACAGAAUGUACCUGAACACCUCUACAACUCCCAGAUCUAUUUUACAACUUUGCCACAUGNNNNNNNNNNNNNNNNNNNNNNNNNNNNNNNNNNNNNNNNNNNNNNNNNNNNNNNNNNNNNNNNNNNNNNNNNNNNNNNNNNNNNNNNNNNNNNNNNNNNNNNNCGCAACAGCCGCCGAUGUUGCCGCCGCCGCCGCCGCCGCCGCCGCCCCUUAUGCUUCUCCCGCUCCUCCUUGCCGCCAGCUCCUUCGCCGCGGCCAAUGCCAAGGCUACACCCCCGUCUGCCACCGCGGCGGCAGGCGCCCGCGCCGGCUCCCCUGCCCCGGUUCCGACGCCGUGGCCGGAGCAGUUCCACGCGGUGAUUUUCACGAACCUCACCGAGAGCGGCGGCCGGCUGCAGCUGAUAGACAUCUACUACGACUGGCCCAAGGGCCGCAACCUCAACCUCAUCCACAACCAGCUCUCCGGCGACCCGACCUACAACGUCGAGUGGGCCAACGGCACCUCCUACCUCUUCGACGCCGCGUCCUGCUGGACCUUCCACUUCGCCGUGGGCCUCCUGCCGCCCGACUGGAUGAAGGCCCGCGGCGCCGCCUACCUGGGCCGCGGCCGCCUCGACGGCUUCGACUGCCACGUCUGGUCCAACUUCCUCUUCGCACGCUACUACGAGGACGCCGCCACCGGCCGCCCCGUCGGAUGGAACUUCAACGGUCGGUGUUCAACUAAUUACGACCUGCAAAUCCCCGUCUUGAAUUAGUUUCUUGAUUAUUCUGCCUAGAAUUAUUCUAAAUUCUCUCCGUUCUGCGGAUGGUCAGUACGAAUGAAUCAGCUUGAUGAAGCUAGCAGAACAAGUUUAUGAUGAUUGCUUCAUGUGAUCUUUGUUUUCCAGGGAUGUUGCGGCAUGUGCUGAGCUUUGAGGCAGGGGCAGUGCUGUCGGACUCCGGCAAGUGGCAGGCGCCGGCUUACUGCUUCAAUGGCAGCAACGCCGACGCCCCUGCUCCUUCUCCGGUUGAUCAGCUGAUUCGCCGGGGCUCCGGCAGCAGCUAAAGGUCCUCCACAGUGUGUUGCCAGAGUGAUGCAAAAUACUAUUUUCCAUACCAUUCAAUAGGAAAUCUGGCACCCCCACUCCCUUUGGCAGCAUCUACUAAUUUGGAACUUAAUUUGAAAGCGAUAUUUCGACCCGGACACUUUUGGAUGCUUCUAAUAACCAACGAAUAGCAAGUGCUCUUCCUUGUUUAGAUCCUAUUUCAAUCGGAACUUUCCGCGUCGAUCCUUUUUUAUUACGUCUUGUUUUUACUCCUAUAUUGGGAGUUACUCUACGUAUUGCUUGACGUAAAACCAAUAGUGGAUUUGUUUCUGUCUUUUGUUGAAUCUUUUUCACAGGCUCGAUAGAGAAGUUGAUAAGCCAAUGAUUUUUUUCCGUCUUUCAUAAUACGGUUAACCACCAUGUUAACUAAUCGAUUACGAAAAAUUGGAUCGGGUUUUGCGGUUCUUUUUUCUGCAGUACCUCGACGUGACAUGAACCUAUUGGGAAUUAGUCCUACACUUGUCCUAUCAUACCUUCUUCGUGUAUACGAAGUAGUAGACUUGACUAACUCAAUUCUUAGGAAAUCGCGAAUCAGAUCAUUUGUUCUUACCUCAACAAGAGCUCUGUUGCCAAAGAAUAAGUAGUUGAUAGCAAAAAACAGUUCAAGGCAGAAGUCUCUUGAGAAUGCAAAAGGCCUGCAAACCUAGUUCACACGAGUGGAUUCUUUCACAGCUCGUGCACCGAUUUUAUCCAGAUUUUGACUCUUUUCUUUGCCAGGUUAGUUGAUCAAUGCGAAUUGUCAAGGUAAGUUGUUGAUCAAAUCCAAAUUGACCAUGCAACGCACCACUAACUUUCCCAAAUGGGUCAACGAAAAGUGCCACCCAAUGUUCUAGUACGAGUACAUCCAGUUCCGGGUGGUCAUCUAGUAUGGGACCUAAGAGAAACCCUUUUUGAAUCCUUUUAUUAAGCCAUUGCUAAUCCCGUAAGGCAAUCCUUCAACGUUGUAGAAAAGAGUUCAAUACAAAAGCAUAGAAAUUAUGUACGCCAAUAACAAAUACGAAUACGAAUUACGCCUACGAGCCUACGCAUUGGCAUGUUUCUUAGUAUAAAGCUAAGAACGAGAAUAGCCUACUGCCUCCACUCGGAAAAGGUAUCUGGUUCCUUUCAUCCAAAGAAAAUAAGGAUACGCAGAUCGAUGCAAAUCACAGCUAAGGGAAUCUUUUCCUAUAACUGCUAACGGCGGACCGUGUCUUUUAGCCCUCACUAGAUGACAACUUGCUUACUUUUUCACUUCUUCUUAAGCUUGGCAGACUAGUUCCUGACUGACUUGAUAGUGCGAUGAGCUUACUUGCUCUAGUUCCGUCUUUCCUCGCUAGGACGACGAAUUCACUCUAUCUGAAGAUCUGAGAAAGGCGCUGAUUACAGCUCUGUCCUUGGAUGGACCAUAGGCCUGAUGCUAGGAGAGUGUAGUUCGAGCAUUCUAUUGUGUGUUCGUGAUACGCAAAGCAAUCUCCUGUUUACUAAUGAUCUAAUGACAGUUGAUUGAGACUUGCCAUUGUCGUCUUUCGAAAGCGAACUCUUAUCUGGUUUCACUCGGGGUCUCCUGUCGACGGGAAGUGCUCGGUUCGGAUAACUUCUGUUUCCGUACCGGGAUCAGCAGGAGGGGAAUUUGAGGUUCUUGGUCCUCUGCGAAAUCAGUCCGCCAACUUGCUCUUUUCGUGCAUGACAGGUGCUCAUUCUUACGAAUGGUGGUGUGGCACAGCCCUUUACAUUUUCAAAAAAGCAGGAGCAACUUUCCACCUCGACUCCUUCCUUCCCCUCAUUCUAAGCCCGGCCACCUUUUCUUGUUUCAGUAGUUCUCCCCGCGAGCUCCUCCUGCAACUCCUCGAGAUCUAUUUUACAACUUUGCCCCAUGCCUGGACCAGUGGGCCCUCAAAUCAUGAACUAAUUAGGCUUAAUAGAUUCGUCUCGCGAAUUAGACUUCAUCUGUACAAUUAGUUUUUUAAUUAGACUAUAUUUAAUACUUCUAAUUAGUAUUUGAACAUACGAUGUGACAAGAAUUUAUCCGAACACCUCCUCGAGAUCUAUUUUACAACUUUACCGGACCAGUGGGCCCCACGGCUUUCUCCACCACUCGGUCACUUCAGCUUCGACUGGUCAGUAGCACUCGCCAAGCGAUAAGCUCGGGGCAAGCCGCAACAGCCGCCGAUGUUGCCGCCGCCGCCGCCGCCGCCGCCGCCCCUUAUGCUUCUCCCGCUCCUCCUUGCCGCCAGCUCCUUCGCCGCGGCCAAUGCCAAGGCUACACCCCCGUCUGCCACCGCGGCGGCAGGCGCCCGCGCCGGCUCCCCUGCCCCGGUUCCGACGCCGUGGCCGGAGCAGUUCCACGCGGUGAUUUUCACGAACCUCACCGAGAGCGGCGGCCGGCUGCAGCUGAUAGACAUCUACUACGACUGGCCCAAGGGCCGCAACCUCAACCUCAUCCACAACCAGCUCUCCGGCGACCCGACCUACAACGUCGAGUGGGCCAACGGCACCUCCUACCUCUUCGACGCCGCGUCCUGCUGGACCUUCCACUUCGCCGUGGGCCUCCUGCCGCCCGACUGGAUGAAGGCCCGCGGCGCCGCCUACCUGGGCCGCGGCCGCCUCGACGGCUUCGACUGCCACGUCUGGUCCAACUUCCUCUUCGCACGCUACUACGAGGACGCCGCCACCGGCCGCCCCGUCGGAUGGAACUUCAACGGUCGGUGUUCAACUAAUUACGACCUGCAAAUCCCCGUCUUGAAUUAGUUUCUUGAUUAUUCUGCCUAGAAUUAUUCUAAAUUCUCUCCGUUCUGCGGAUGGUCUUCAUCCGGCAAUGUGUGCAAUUUGGGGACAAAGUCUACAAAUCCUAACUUUUUUUUUUUCCAUUCUUUACCCCUUGAUGCAAAAGUAGUGUGGUAAUUCUAUAGUUUUGUUGUGCAGGGAUGCAAUCUGAAUUCGUCCAAUUGAUUAGUUUUUUUUUACCCUGACACUUGGCACUCUGCUUUUCCUUUUGCAGUCUAGCAUUUCUGCAUUUCUUCAGUAACUGCUUGACUCAGCACUGCACAGUUCUGUGAUUUCUCAGUACACAGAUGCAGUCUAGAACCCUCCCAGUUUCUUGAUUGGGGAUUGCUCCUAAAUCCUGUUAUUGUGCUUGCCUUAUUGCAGUCUCUGCUUUCCUGAAUCGCAAAUUUCAGAUUGCAGUCUCAAUUCCUUCACUUCCGCAGUACUUGGUUGAUUCAGCAGUUUGGUGAUUUGUGCGCUCGUUUUCCCCAGGGAUGCAGCAGCAUGUGAUGAGCUUUGAGGUGGGAGGAGUGCUGGAAGACUCCAAGUGGCAGGCGCCAGCUUAUUGCUUCAAUGGCGACAAUGCCAACACUGGCAAUGUGGCUGCAGAUAGAGUUGAUGUGAUGAACAGCUUGAUCAGGUUCGCCGGGGCUCCAGCUGCAGCUAUGGCUGCAUCAUUUGACCAGUGAGAGGUUUUGCGAUGAUUGACUGAUGAGAGGCUUUCCAUUCGGUGAUCCAUGAUCUGUUCAUUCUGUUCUGCCCUGUUAAUCGCAUUGUGCUUCUUAAACUCUCUUGUGUUUUGUGGUAACAGUCAUUCUGCAAUCCACAGCAAUUAGGUGAGUAGUAGCUGUUCUUUCCUUUCAAGAACGAAAGAUGUAUGUUCAGUACUAGAUCUGUAUCUGAAAGUUGGAAAUAAUGGUCACACCUGCUGAACAUGAGCCUCUGUAGUUGACUAUCCGUGUGACAAUUGCUGAACCAGAAUGGUGAAGCUGGAUUGAACAUCAGGGAAUCAAGUACACUAUAAAGAAGAGCCCCCAUCAGUUCGUCGCAAAUGCUAAUUUCACAGUGAAUCAAUCGUGAGUUCAUGACUGUAAAACACAUUGCACAAAGGUAGAGCUCAGGUGCAAUCGUGCAGAAAGGGAGGGCAACCUGACCAACGAGCAGAAACUUGUGCUCAGUCAUGUGCUGAAUGUUGCCUGGAGAUUGGUAGAGGCACACUGUAGUCUCUAGAAGAGUGUACAGUGUUCACCAUGUAAAACUUGAUUUUUUUUCCCUCCGACAUUGCAGGUACAUCAAUGAAACUACCUUUUUUUUUGAGAGAUUGCUAACCCCACACACCGAGAGGUGUGCAAUGAAACUACCAUCCGACAUUAGUGUUUUUUUAGACCCAUCCGACAUUAGUUAUCCAGCUUAAAAAUAACGCAUAGCCAUUGUACUUGGAUGUUAAAUUUUGGGUCCAAUAAGCAUUUAAGAAUUUUGAUAGCAGGCCCAGUUUAGUAUAGGCCCAUUAAAGGCCUUUUUAGAACAUGGAGGGAAUGGGCAAAAAAAAAUCUGUUCAAGUUCUACCAAUCAAUGUCGAAAUAUCUCUUUAUAAGAAGUUAGAGAAAUGCUCAAAUACGAUCUUCACUAGUCAAAACUUAGCACAAGUCGAUCCAGCUAAUUUUUUUUACCUUCAUUCCAAAAUUCGCAUGCAUGCUAUACUUGGCAGAUCAUGUAGACUGGCCAUUCCUUGUUCAAAAGAAUUGCCAUUAUAUUUGCCGGCCGCUGUGCCUGAGCGUUUGAGUUCUUGUAAAAGAAAAAUUACAAUACAGUAAACGUGGUAGAAAAGAAACCGAGGGAGACAUUUCUACGUUCUCAGCAAAUCGAACUUGCAUUUUCACCUUUGUACACACGCACACCAAUGUCCUUGUCUGACUUCGACUAGAGUGUGUCGUCACUUAAAGAGGUCAACAUCAAUACAGAGGGGAUGCAUGACUCUUUGCGCAAGAAUCUCUUAACUAAAAAUCAUCUAGACCGCAUGCAUGCUACUGGUAACUCUGGUAACUGUAUUAACAUUUUUAAUUUCCUCCAAAUGAAAAGACAAGUACAAGGCGGCAAAUAGUAGAAAUUAAAGUCUAAUGCAUAUUCUGGUUAUAGUUUCCACUUCCAGCUGCAGAACAAUUAGUGAGCCAUAAAAUUCAACGACAUUACAUUCACUUGGAUCGACAUUAUCGCCGACGCCCAUGGGAUGACCGCCACAUGCAAAAAGCUUUAACCUCGCCGGCGCUGAUGGAGCCGUGUGGAUGGAAUCUUCAGUAAAUAACAUGAUAAUAUAUGGUAAUUCUUGUUUACCGAUGCUUGACUAAUGACUCUUUCAGUAGAUUCUAUCUCGUCCGUUACUACUAGGUUAAUUCAUAACUAGUGACGACUCAUCAAAAAUCAAAAAGAAGAGCCUCAAAACGAAAAAAAAAAG